rnacentral:tRNA from 1 species
UGGGAGGUGUCCGAGUGGUCGAAGGAGCACGACUGGAACUCGUGUAAGUGUAACAGCUUCGAGGGUUCGAAUCCCUUCCUCCCAG